AGCUCAUGGGUGUGGAUAUGCUCCUCCUUGACUCAAAGGCGACACUCAUGCCAGUAACUGUCAAUGUUACAUCCUGUACCAUCCCAACUGAGAAGUUCCAGUUUCAAAAGUAUGAACAGCUACUGGCUCUGGCUAACUCUGACGUUGAUUUCCCGGGUGAUGAGUAUCAACCUUUUAUUACGAUGAAACCAGCUUUCAGCGUCUGAUGUUAACAAUCCAAAGCAUUUUUGAUUUGGUAGCCAAUUUACUUCAUGAAAAGUUAGUACUCUUGCAUGGUGAGCCAAAGGUGAUGAUUGCAACCAACAUCUAUCCAAAAUUAGUUGGAGGUCGCUUAUUCCUGAAAGCAAUUUCAGAUUAUGCUAUCAUUUAAAUACUACAUUAACCACACAGGUUAUAUAGAGCUCAAGAAGGCUCCUCUUCAUCUUCUUCCAAGUAUGGUGGGAUUAAGAAACUUGAAUCUGUCACUCUCUCUGAGUUGAAUAGUACCAUCGCUCAGCACUUGCUAAUUUCGCACACCAGGUCAGGUUCUACAUAUUUACUUAUUGUACAAACUUUGUUAGUGGGUGAGGACCAUUCAGAUAAUGAUAUGACAUGGGCUGUUAAUCUUUCUGUGGAGUCAAACCCAAUUGUAAACAACAUUGGUCUAGAUAACACCAACAGGUGUGAUGCUUCAGCAACAAUGGAAGGCUGUUUAGAAGUGUCUGAACCAAUUCCUACGCAAACUGGUCCAGUGGUCAACACGAAGGAGGAAACAAUGGAUGGUGACAAGGAUCCAAAUCUUAAGAAACCUCGAAAUGCCUUAUCACUCCCACUAUUGGCAAAUUUUUUUCUCAAUUCCAUUUCUUCCUAAGUUUUUAAGCUUCACUCAAUAAUGCUGUUGUUUUGCAAAUUUUUAAUUAAUCAGUUCGGGUUUUCGUUAAUAAAGUAGAAUUGGUACACCUGUUAAUUUUAGUAUUUUAUUUGUGGUUAUGAAAUUUUCUUACUAACAAGAAUUUUGGUUUAGUGU